CCAGAUUUCCCCAGAUUUCCCUUCACGCCUCCACCUCCAGGACUCUCGCCUGCCAUCGAUCUAACCAUGUCGCCUCCGCCACCUCCUGAACAACAGGUCUACGAGCCGGCCUGCGAACUUCCGCUGCCGUAGAUGAUUCACCAUUGAUUUUGGAAAGAACCUGAUUGUGGUGGUUCGUUUUUCCAUCGGGGUCUCACUAGAGAGCGUAUGGUUCGGUGCUUCUUGUGCAGCCUGGUGUCUUCUGGAUUCUUGUGUUCUUGGUCGGACCUCUAUUACUGCAGUUCCUAAACACCCACCGCUCAGGCUACCACAAAGUAGUACUCUCUACCUUCCGAAUAUUACUGUGUGCCUAUUUUACUCUCUGAUGAAAUUUCAGCUGGUAUGUUCGGUUCACAUGGUAGAUUAUCACUUCUACAAUCUUUUUUUGCAGCUUGGUCCUCUUCUAGUGUUGUACGUGUAGUGUCUGACUUCUAUGUGCUGACGGGAUUUAUUUAUUUGUUCGAAGUGUGAACAUCCAGCCUGUGCAUUACUCGUAUCUUAGAUGGAUCAGCCUCUACCUGCAAAAAAAAGAUGGACCCGCCUCUCUGAAUGUUGAUACUAGCUCAUGAGCAUAAUUUGUUCUUGUGGCUUCGUAUGUCAAUGGUAUUCAACCUCGGGAAAGAUAAGGCACAUAUAGCUUAGUGCAAAACUGCGGAAACACAGACGUCCGUGCAAUGUCAAUACGUGCCAACAUGUAUUUUCUUAAUGUAAGUGAUAUUGACUUCUGCAUUUUUUCCCUCUUUUAUCAGUUGGAAUAUCCUUGUAUUUAGGAUUAUUUCAAGGGACUUGUAGCUCAGAAACCUGAUUUUGCAAACACCAGUAAUGUAUAUAUAUAGAUUGCAUGCAAAUGUAAUGUCUUCAAUACAGUACCAGGAAUAGAGAUGUCUCGACAUGUACAUGGGCCAGGAAUAGUUCUGAAUCCUGAUCAGGUAUUUGAUGUACUAUAAACUUCAUCCACUAUCAGACCGCUAGACUUCAGAUAGAAAAUAUUGAUCAACACAUGAAAGACCAAGAUGCUAAGAUGCUAGAUGAGAAGACACAAAACCCUUAACACAUAGGUAGAUCGAAAGAGAGUUUCCAAUACUAAAUCCAUAUACUCAUAUUUAUUAUGUAUUAUAAGAUGCUUUCGGUCAAAUAUCUACAUGCAAUAUGCAUCUUUAGGAAUGUUUAAGGUUUAAUAAAAAUAUAGAAUUUAUUUGAGUAAACAUGAUCGUACUCUUAUUUGGUUUUCAAUCUGCAAAGUGUAUAUUGUGAUCGUCAAUAAAGAACUUGUUACCGUAGGGAAACAGAAUGAUCAGAUGCUAGUGAACUUCUGCAUUAAUUAUUUCUAGUAUGUAUUUUAUAGAAAAGAAACUCAUCUCUUACCCUUCAUAGCUGAGCAAGGAAAACUUUCUAAAUGAUCUAGACAUGCAACCUUUGAAACAUGUGCUCUGGUAGUAGAUAAAUUAUAUGCAAUAGGUUGGAUCUAUAUUAUUUUCGCAGUGCGUGUUGAUGCUACAAUAGCAAGAUCUGACUGGUUCACACACCAGUCCAAAAGGUCAAAAUUAUCUCUAAUGGUAUUGUUACUUACUUACUGAAAUAUAUGUUUUUAUGGUUGUAGAUUGACAAGUUAAAUGGAUGAUGCGUGGGUGAGAGAUGCUGAUAGCAAUGAUGAGGAUAUUGCUACUACUUGAUAGUGUUACAGAAUGUCUUAGACCGCUAUCGUACAUUGCCAAAGUUUAGAGAUUUUUUUUUACUUUGGGUCAUGUUCUUUGUAAUACAACAGAGUUUAUUUAAUAUAUUUUCUUUAUGUUCGCUAUAUAGAAGCU